rnacentral:rRNA from 1 species
AUUGAACGCUGGCGGCAUGCCUUACACAUGCAAGUCGAACGGUAACGCGGGGCAACCUGGCGACGAGUGGCGAACGGGUGAGUAAUGUAUCGGAACGUGCCCAGUUGUGGGGGAUAACUGCUCGAAAGAGCAGCUAAUACCGCAUACGACCUGAGGGCGAAAGCGGGGGAUCGCAAGACCUCGCGCAAUUGGAGCGGCCGAUAUCAGAUUAGGUAGUUGGUGGGGUAAAGGCCCACCAAGCCAACGAUCUGUAGCUGGUCUGAGAGGACGACCAGCCACACUGGGACUGAGGCACGGCCCAGACUCCUACGGGAGGCAGCAGUGGGGAAUUUUGGACAAUGGACGCAAGUCUGAUCCAGCCAUGCCGCGUGCGGGAAGAAGGCCUUCGGGUUGUAAACCGCUUUUGUCAGGGAAGAAACGCUCUGGGUUAAUACCUCGGGGUAAUGACGGUACCUGAAGAAUAAGCACCGGCUAACUACAUGCCAGCAGCCGCAGUAACAC